CACAAACCAAGCACACACUAGAACGAUUUUUUCAAGACUAAAAUUCACUUCAACCCAUGCGGCUCUAACACAAUAGCCUAACAUAUAUUUAAGUUCAAUAAAACAAAACAAAAACUCGAAGAAACAAAACGGCCCCGUCUUUUGUAGCGGAGCCGCUUCGGGGAAAAAAUCCGAAGCAUCAACGUUAAAAAAUCCUUCAAAAACGGUUAUUUUGUUCCUUUUCAUAAGAACAAAACGCUAAAAAAAUAACCCUUACGGUCCGAGACAAUAGAAAACGUUAUAAAGGAAGUGCCUAAAUGGGUUAACUGCUUGCGCAAAACGUCCUUGUCAGUAAAGAAAUUUUUAUUUUAAGGUAAAAGCACCUAUUCCGAUAAUGCGUUGCGAAUAAAUAUAUUUCGCAAAGCAGCCCACAAUGUUUGCCGUUGUCGGUACAGUUUUAUCGCGCCGUAAACCACGACAACUGCUUUUGUCUCGUGUUCUACAACAGGGAAAGGUGCCUGGGACAUUAGCCGUGUCCGAACACAAAGCGCCAGAAUAAUUACACCUGAUGUGUUUUUUAAAAGAAAGUCUUUCACCUUUAUUGCAAAAUUUUACGGAAUUAAUAACGCUUAUUUAUGACUGUUUUGUCCAGAUAUUUCGCAAUGACAACAAUAUGAUGACGCUUGUCACAACUUAACAAAGAAAUAUUAUUGUAAUAGGUUAUUUUAGUUCAGUUUGUGUUUAACAGUUUAAGAAUUAGCACUGUAGUUAGUGUGAGUGCUUAUAAAAUACCUCUACAUCGACAUACACGUGGUUUUUACGCGAUAUUUUGCGGUAAAUGUUUCAGCAGGUGCUUCCAUCUGUGAGUGCGAGCCGGAACUGUUGCGCGGUGGAGGCUUCGCGCUAACGACCUGUUUUCACGCAACAAAGCCUUUGGCGCUGCUGGUUGUAAGCCUUCAGAAGUGUGAGAGGAGGAUGGGAGAUUUCGUAGCGGUGGCGUAGCCCGAUAUAAAGAAAGAUUAUCCGAAGCCCCUAAGGAAGUUUGAAAUUGCUAUUGUAGCGAAAAGGAUUAUAUGUUAGUGCUACGGCGUAGCGGUGCGGGCCGGAUUUAGACAUGGAGCCCCCGGUCUUGGGGCGCUCCACUUCUAUUGCAAUUAUUACUUUUAUCAACAUUUAACUUAUAGCUUAUAGUGCAUAGGCAUUUAAACUGUGAAUACUAA